CUGUUCUUGUGUCAAUGAGUAAGUUCUCACAAGGUCUGAUGGUUUUAUAAGGCACUUUCCUCACUUAUGCUCAGCACUUCUUGUUACUGCCACCAUGUGAAGAA